rnacentral:rRNA from 1 species
UACAGAGGUCUCAAGCGUUGUUCGGAUUCAUUGGGCGUAAAGGGUGCGUAGGUGGCGCGCUAAGUCGGGUGUGAAAUUUCGGAGCUUAACUCCGAAACUGCAUUCGAUACUGCUCUGCUUGAGGACUGGAGAGGAGACUGGAAUUCACGGUGUAGCAGUGAAAUGCGUAGAUAUCGUGAGGAAGACCAGUGGCGAAGGCGGGGUCUCUGGACAGUUCCUGACGCUGAGGCGCGAAGGCCAGGGGAGCAAACAGG